CAGCCAUUCCGCGUGCAGGACGAAGGCCUUCGGGUUGUAAACUGCUUUUGUACGGAACGAAAAAGCCUUGGUUAAUACCCAGGGUCCAUGACGGUACCGUAAGAAUAAGCACCGGCUAACUACGUGCCAGCAGCCGCGGUAAUACGUAGGGUGCAAGCGUUAAUCGGAAUUACUGGGCGUAAAGCGUGCGCAGGCGGUUAUAUAAGACAGAUGUGAAAUCCCCGAGCUUAACUUGGGAACUGCAUUUGUGACUGUAUAGCUAGAGUACGGCAGAGGGGGAUGGAAUUCCGCGUGUAGCAGUGAAAUGCGUAGAUAUGCGGAGGAACACCGAUGGCGAAGGCAAUCCCCUGGGCCUGUACUGACGCUCAUGCACGAAAGCGUGGGGAGCAAACAGGAUUAGAUACCCUGGUAGUCCACGCCCUAAACGAUGUCAACUGGUUGUUGGGUCUUCACUGACUCAGUAACGAAGCUAACGCGUGAAGUUGACCGCCUGGGGAGUACGGCCGCAAGGUUGAAACUCAAAGGAGUUGACGGGGACCCGCACAAGCGGUGGAUGAUGUGGUUUAAUUCGAUGCAACGCGAAAAACCUUA
rnacentral:rRNA from 1 species